AGGGUAACACAGGGGGCUGCUUGUUUGUUUGUUUAGGUCUUUGUGUCACCCUCUUUCUGAGAAGCCACGGACAUCUGGAGAGCUGUAGGCAGGGUAUGGAGGUGGGUCUGGGCAUCGGGAUCUCCCCAGGGAAGGGCCUUUCCCUUCCCCUUAAGCAAAAACUCUCCUCUGGAAGGGGCAAGGAGCUGCCACCACCAUCAGGGUUUAAGGAAGGGGGAAAGUGACUCUGGAGGGUGCUGGUGGUCCCCAAGGGGCUCUGUUGGAUUUAAUGGCCAUCCCAGGGUGCUUGGUUUGAAGAAACAGGGAUGGGCUUCUUGCUUGGCCUCGGGACAGAGCCCUUUGUUAGUGGGUGUAAGCAUGAAUUAAAGGGGAUUUUUUGGGUGAGAGCUCUUUGCUGGCAGUGUCUGGUAAAGUCAAAACUUGUGGGUGUUUCUGGGGGGCACAGGGCAGGGGGUGUGCGGUCACCCCAAGGCGCGAUGGUGAGGACAUACCAGGAGGGCAGCUCUGGGCUGGGAUGAAGGGCAUGUGCUGGUGUGGUGAUGCACCAGGCAGGUAUUUUGGCUCCUGAUGUAUUUUGGCAGGUCACUCUGAGCGUGUUGUGGGCAUGGGGACACCACUGGCUGAGCCCUCACCUGCCACACCACUGAGGAUGAAAGUGGCAUGAGCUGUGCUUUCCACACCCUGGCACUUCACCUGGGCUCAGCAUAACCCAGGCCGAUGUGCACCUGGAGCGGGACUCCUCAGCUCAGAGAAGUGGAUAAUGCAUGUUGGGGCUGGUGGAGCAGCUCUUGUUCCCCUACACCCCAUGCCCACAAGGAUGACUGUGGCUGUGGUGGGACCAACACAUGAGCUGUGGGCUCUCUGGAGUUUGCCUAUAUAUGCAGCUCAUAGCGCCCCUGGGACGUGAUCUUGUGGAUGUUGUCCAAGCCUGUUGAGGCAAAUAGUGAAACACCCGGUGAGACUUGACGCCUGGAUCCGCUCCGUGAGCAAACAGGGAAAGCUCUAAGCAAAUAAGACAGCUGUGGGAAAUGAGAGCGAGGAGAGGAAUCGAAGAGCAGCAGCACUUCUGGACGAGCAAGUUAGGGAGCUGCUGACCUUCACCAUGUGCUUUUACGUGACGUGUCCAUGAGUGCCUUCUAAUGUGAAGGGCAGGGAAUGAACAGAAGGAAAACUGUCUGAGGGAGAGCGUAGAGGAAUGUGGUGAAAGGCAGGGAGCCAACAGCUGGCACAGGUGAGCAGCACAGUGCACAGGGAGCUUGGGUUUGACACCUUGAUGAAAGACAACCAGUGAAGGUCAUACCCAGCCAGAACUCAUCCUCCAAGUUUCCAAAGCCAACCCGGUAAUCUGCCCAUUUCCGGAAGAAAUCGGUCAGCCCGUUCUGCCGCCGCUGGAAGACCUGAGGUGGAGGAAGACCAGGGGGAAAAUCAGUGUGAUGGAGUGACUUCUUGAAGACAAGUCCUUGUUCUCAGCAAAGUGUCCUGAUGCGUUGCCAGAGUAAAUCGAAUCCCAGAUCUUGAUGCUUCACUCAGGGGUGUGUCCAUGGAUUGCAUUGCCUUGGUGAUAGUUCCUGGGUGCUUCUGUCUCAUUGAUAUUGGGCUCCAUGUGGCAGAUUCCUGAGCCCUUGAAGGUCCUGGGAGGGUAGAGUCAACAUGGAGGAACCUGAUGUCCUGCCAUACUGAAGAGCUUCAAGCUGAAUGAGUGAACUCUUUUUGUCUCCAUUUGGCACCCAGAAAGAUCUUUGGUGGAGGUGCCUGAUUUGGAGGUGCGUUACUUGGAGGUGCAUCGCUUGUGGCUAAGCAGCACCCAAAUCCAGACCCACGCAGGGGAAAAUGAGCUACAUCCCAAGGAAAACCUUCUCUCCGAUAGCUGCCCGUACUUUUGCAUUGGAAAACGUGUAACUUUGUGCCCAGCUCUUCAAAGCAUCCAGACUACUUUAACCGAGGAUCUUCCACUCAAUUUACUCUUUUCUGGGCCUUUCCAUCAUUGGUAAAAUUUAUCAGCAAUGAUAUUAUGUCUUUUGAAAGGUGUUGACAACGUGUUAAAUAACGUGGGGCCAAGGACAGAUCCAAGCAUUUAGAACUGAGGAACAUCUCUAGAAAUGUUCCUGCUUUGGUGCCAGCUCCUGGUUUGUCCUUAAGCUGAGGGAUCAGCUUGUAAAGCUGUUGAUGUCUUGGCUGUGGGGAGAGAGGAGAAAAUGCAACUGCUCUGAGAAUUGGGCCCUUCCCUCCUCCAGAGCCCCCAGCACUCAGCCUUUGAACAUCAUGGACUGAAGCCUGGCCGAUGGAUGCUUGGAGCCCAGCAGGACUGAAACAGUGCAUGGAUGGAUGGGGCCAAGCCUGGCCAUUGCUCCUGUGCCAUGGCAGUGCUGAUGCCUGCUGGGCAGCCUGUUUUAUCACUUACAUGAUCACAAAGGUGGGUGAGAAAGCCCACUCUGGUUCUGUAAUUCAGAAUAUACUGUAUAUCUAUAUACAUCUAGUAUAGUGAAUAUAAGAGAAAAUGACUAUAUAAUAAGGGUGUGCUGAAUGCUGCAUGCCAGGGUCAGAAGUUCUG